UACGUAGGGGGCAGCGUUGUCCGGAAUCAUUGGGUCGUAAAGCGCGUGUAGGCGGCCAGAAAAGUCCGCUGUGAAAACUCGAGGCUCAACUUCGAGCUGUCGGUGGAAACUUUCUGGCUAGAGUCCGGAAGAGGAGAAUGGAAUUCCUGGUGUAGCGGUGAAAUGCGCAGAUAUCAGGAAGAACACCCGUGGCGAAGGCGGUUCUCUGGGACGGUACUGACGCUGAGACGCGAAAGCGUGGGGGAGCGAACAGG
rnacentral:rRNA from 1 species